rnacentral:rRNA from 1 species
UACGUAGGGUGCGAGCGUUAAUCGGAAUUACUGGGCGUAAAGCGUGCGCAGGCGGUGAUGUAAGACAGGUGUGAAAUCCCCGGGCUUAACCUGGGAACUGCAUUUGUGACUGCAUCGCUGGAGUGCGGCAGAGGGGGAUGGAAUUCCGCGUGUAGCAGUGAAAUGCGUAGAUAUGCGGAGGAACACCGAUGGCGAAGGCAGCCCCCUGGGCUAGCACUGACGCUCAGGCACGAAAGCGUGGGGAGCAAACAGG